rnacentral:rRNA from 1 species
UACAGAGGUCUCAAGCGUUGUUCGGAUUCAUUGGGCGUAAAGGGCGCGUAGGCGGCGGGGUAAGUCGGGUGUGAAAUCUCAGAGCUCAACUCUGAAACUGCACUCGAUACUGCUCUGCUUGAGGACUGGAGAGGAGACUGGAAUUUACGGUGUAGCGGUGAAAUGCGUAGAUAUCGUAAGGAAGACCAGUGGCGAAGGCGGGUCUCUGGACAGUUCCUGACGCUGAGGCACGAAGGCCAGGGGAGCAAACGGG